rnacentral:lncRNA from 1 species
CUCUCCUUGUUGCCUUCCUUGCUGUCAAAUAUAUAUGUAAGCUCCUUGGGGUCAGCGACCUGUAUUAUUAUUAUUAUUAUUAUUAUUAUUAUUAUUAUUAUUAUUAUUAAGAACUGUAAUGCACAUCAAUAGUGCCUUAUGAAAUAAUCUCCUGCACCCAUUAUUAUUAUUAUUAUUCAUGAAGUCUGCCAUUUUACACAAUACCCUCAGCAUCCUAAAGAGAAUCAAAUACAAACACCAAAGUUUAUUGUCAACCAUCAAAUAUACAAAAAAAAUACAUAUGACACAUACAUGUGUGAGCACAUGUCAAAUCCUGUUUAACAACUGUACAAAAGAAGGAGGGGGGAGCGAGAAGGAGAGUGAGAAAGUGACCGGUGGUCUAAUUAUGCCCCCAGGCUUGAUGCCUAAGAUCACUAAGAUCACAGUGUUUACAACUUGAACAUCAUUGCUUCCAUCCCCUCACCGACUCCUGUGUAGUCUCCUCCCUCGGAGGGGUUUGGGUCCCCUUAGCAACAGGACAAUUUGAUAGCAGCUUUAUAUGUUAUAGUUUUAGUGGGUAUAUCUUGCAAGACUGGUGUGUACUGACAUGACACUAACAACUCCACAUACACUGUGGAGAGCUAGUGUAUGUGGCUCCAAAUAAUGUGAUAAUGGGAUGAAAUUGGGGGUUGCAAUGGAUUACCUCAGGGUCCCUUCAGGCCCUGUGAUGCUUGCUUGUAAGAGUGAGGUAUGCCAAACUGGUUGGACUAGCAUGGCUGCUGGUAAUGACUCUGGUAAUGUAGUCAAGAACCCUUAAUGGAGAACCUUGUUAGGGAGAUAGCUCUGUGUAGCUGGAGUCUUCCGGAAGAAAGAGCCAUUCGUGAAGCAGGUCUUGCUUUCUCCCAUGUGGUAAUUCUGUACCUUUGAGGAAUAUAAACAGUCCUAACUGUGACUCAGCUAUACAGCUGCAAAUGAAAUGUUUGAAGUGUGUUUUAAGUGCGAUAUACACUAGAUGGCGAUGGUGAGCCUUAUGGAAAAUUCAAUGUAUUUUUUAAAACGCUUUUUUAAAGAGCAUUUUCAGAACGUGUUUUUUUUUAUAUGUGUGUAGAUUCCACCCCAGUCAGAACACAGAGGGCUGAGCUGCUCUCCAGAAAAUCCCAGUGGUGUUGGCAGUUUCUCUGGAAAUCUGAUGGGGAGCAGCAAACUCUGGAGAUCUGUUGACGGGUUCAGUUCUGUGAAUCUCCGCCUAUGCUCCAUCUGAAUAUAUGUGUAAAUAAAACAUAUAUCACAAACUACCAAUAAGUCUCUAGUGGCCUCUUUCUGAAGGAAACAAAACCCAGCAAUGCUUCACCCCUGGAUUUCUCGCCAUUUGGAGAAUAGUAGGUUUCUGUGGCUUAUACUGUAUCUACCCUACAUGUAACAGGAGGCAAGUGGUUACAUGCUAGAUGUUGUUAGCUCAGUUGGUUAGAGUGUGGUGCUGAUAACACGAAGGUAGCAGGUUUGAUCCCUGUAGGUAGGGGACAGCUACAUAUUCCUGAAUUGCAAGGCGUUAGACUAGUAGAUUCUCAGGGUCCCUUCCAGCUCUAUGAACUUCUGGAGGAGCACCACCACAUUGGCUAUUCUUGCUCUGGAUCUACUUUGCCCAUUAAAAGUGCAACAUAUAAAGCCGUCCUUAAAGGAGGAGCCAGAAAUCUAUGAAACGACUUUGUCCGCUCUGCCUUCCCUCACCCCUUUUGUUCAGAGAGAGAGAGAGAAAAGAGAUAGAUCCAACGUGUUGUAUCACCAGUCAUGGCAAGUGGUAAGUUUAAGGUGAGGGAGGAAGCAAAAUACGACACAAGCAAUCACAAGAUCCCCAAAGGAAAGCAAAAUAACUCACAGGUGCAGUUAUCAGUGGGUUCACAGGUUUCAAAACCAUUGUAAUAUAUCAGGCACUCAAAAGGCAUACAGACUUCCCCAGCUCCUACAUUUCUGACCCGCGGCUAACCAGCCACCCUUCCAAUCUCUUCCCAACGUCUUCUUUUCCACUAGAGUAGUGAAGACUCUCUCAUCAGCUGCUCCAAGAGUUAUCGUAAGUCCCUCCCCCUAAGUGGCACAUUGAGAAUGCGGGGUGGGGUGGGUGGCGGGGAUCAGAACAGGAAAAAAGAACACAGCUAGAUUAACUGCACGGACAUGGCCUCCCACCUCAGAAUAUGGCCUCUUCAAGGCUGACACACACACAGCAUUUUCUUUUACAGGGUUCACACAAGGGGUGAAGGGUUAUCACAGACACAGCCAGCAACAAGUCACAUGGUCACCAGAGGAGCUUGAAAAAGAACCACGGCAGUCCAUGGGAAUUCCAGUUUGACGGCUGUCAACUAACCACUUAAAAAAAACACCCAGUCCUAGCCUGGGUAGCUUUUAAAAACAGUUUUAAGUCUAGUUUCCAGAAAAGCAAAUUGCAAGGCUGCUUCCGCCUGCUCUGCUGCUGCUAGUAGCAUUUCUUCUCAUGAAGCUGUGCAUCUUAAAUGAUUCGAUGCCUUCUGUGCUUAGCACUAUCCCUAGGGCCAGCAAAAACCACUGGCUAAGUGCAGGCAACCCUACAAAAUUCACGUUACAUUUAUCUUUGAAUGUGUGCUGGGAGAACAAUUCAACCAGGCCUUUGGCAGAUUAACAGUCAAUGUCCUUUUAAAUGUGUUUGAAGGAGAGGGGUUAUUGGUUUGUUUUGCA